CAGUAGCCACGGUAAUACGGAGGGCGCGAGCGUUACCCGGAUUUACUGGGCGUAAAGGGCGUGUAGGCGGCCUGGGGCGUCCCAUGUGAAAGGCCACGGCUCAACCGUGGAGGAGCGUGGGAUACGCUCAGGCUAGAGGGUGGGAGAGGGUGGUGGAAUUCCCGGAGUAGCGGUGAAAUGCGCAGAUACCGGGAGGAACGCCGAUGGCGAAGGCAGCCACCUGGUCCACUUCUGACGCUGAGGCGCGAAAACGUGGGGAGCAAACCGGAUUAGAUACCCCUGUAGUCCCUGUCUCUUAUAC
rnacentral:rRNA from 1 species